GUGUCAGCAGCCGCGGUAAUACGUAGGGGGCAAGCGUUGUCCGGAUUUAUUGGGCGUAAAGCGCACGCAGGCGGUCUCGUAAGUUUUGAGUGACAGGUGUCGGCUUAACUGACACAGGCCUUGAAAAACUGCUGGACUUGAGAGCUUCAGAGGGACGCGGAAUUCCAGGUGGAGCGGUGAAAUGCGUAGAGAUCUGGAAGAACACCAAAGGCGAAGGCAGCGUCCUGGGAAGUAUCUGACGCUCAUGUGCGAAAGCUAGGGGAGCGAACGGGAUUAGAUACCCCUGUAGUCC
rnacentral:rRNA from 1 species